GACAUCCGACAAGAAAUCCAUUUUUUACUUCACUUUUGGGUAAAUUUCUCCGAUUGAUCUAAACAGUUCCGGUCAAAAAGAAUUUUGAAAUUAGUACGAUCAACUAACGCAGACAGAGCGUCAGAUCUUCAAUCAUGAUGGCUGGCUGUCCAUCGCUCUCAGCAGAGGAGUGUCAAUCAAUCAAUGAUGAAGCAACGCAGAGUGGCCAGCAAUCUAUGGCAGCUCACAUCUAAAGAUCAAUUAACGCAGACAGAGCGUCAGAUCUUCAAUCAUGAUGGCUUUCCAUCGCAGAGGUUUGUCAAUCAAUCAAUGUGAAGCAUCGCAGAGUGGCCAGCAAUCUAUGACAGCUCACAGCUAAUUAAAGAUCAAAUGAGCCAAGUCUCGUCAAACUGAGCAAAGGAAAUGUCUCCAAGCUGUCGUUGUUGAAGCUCUGGAGACCGUCAAGCAAGCUGCCUUGACAACUCUACCAACUUCCUGUGUACAGAUCAACUAAUC